rnacentral:rRNA from 1 species
GUCCUUUUGAAAUUUAUUUAAGGUUUAACCUGCCCACUGAUUAAUUGAAGGGCCGCAGUAUUUUGACUGUGCAAAGGUAGCAUAAUCAUUAGUUUUUUAAUUAAAAGCUUGUAUGAAGGGUUGGACGAGGUAAAUUCUGUCUCUGGAUAAUUAAUUUUAGAAUUUAAUUUUUGAGUUAAAAAGCUCAAAUAAAUUUAAAAGACGAGAAGACCCUAUAGAUCUUUAUAUUAUUUUUAUUAAUUAUAUGUAGGGUUAUUUAAUUAAUUAAUAGAUUUAAUAUUUUAUUGGGGUAAUAAAAAGAUUAAAUUAAUUCUUAUUUUAUUAUUACAUUAAUAAAUGAAUUUAUGAUCCAAUAUUAUUGAUUAUAAGAUUAAGUUACCUUAGGGAUAACAGCGUAAUUUUUUUUGAGAGUUCUUAUCGAUAAAAAAGUUUGCGACCUCGAUGUUGGAUUAAAAAUUAUUUUAGGUGUAGAAGCUUGAAAUUUUGGUCUGUUCGACCAUUAAAUUUUUACAUGAUCUGAGUUCAGACCGGCGUAAGCCAGGUCGGUUUCUAUCUUUAGAAUAAUUUUAAUUUUUAGUACGAAAGGACCAAAUUUAAUAUAUAUUAAUAUUUAGGAUUUAUGAUUAU